GUUAGUAGGUGCUCAGUGUUUGUAGAAUUAAACGGAAUUUAUUUUAAAAGGCAGACAGGGGCCGUCCGGUGGCGUAACGGUUAAGUUCGGGCGCUCCGCUUCAGCAGCCCAGGGUUCGCAGGUUUGGACCUAUGGUUUGGGGACCUGAUAUGUUUCCCUUCCAGUCAGAUCUUAAAUUUAAGAUAGGAGAGGGAAGGAGGUAUUAGCACAAUUAACCCUCCGAUAGUGGACUUGCAGCUCUCAGUGGAAGGUUUUCUUGGUGGUGGGGAAAAAGGGAGAAGAGCCUUCCCUUUGGUUCUCACGUCAGCCGGGGCACCGCGCCGCACCGGUCAGUACGGUUACCCGUGCUUGUCCUCCUUGCUCUCCGUUAACUCAGCGCCCAGUAAGGGCCGCACUGAGCCGAGCCCUGUGCAAGCAGCCCGUGGAGGGAGGGACUGUUGUUAUGUCCAGUGUAUUCAUCAGGACCUUCGGGUCAGAGAGGCCCCUGGGUGACACCACUGGCCAGGGCAAGGGCCUGGGUCACAAAUCCUCCUUCUGCCUGUCCCCCGACACCUGCCCCACCGCUGCCUCUGGGCCUGAAGUCACAGCAAGUAGCCCUCUUCUCUCCAGCUCGGAGCUCGCCCCCAGUGAUCCCUUUGGACAAACACCUGUCCGGUCUGGUCUCAAAGCUUAUGCCAAAUCAAGUUCUUGUUCUGCAGGUAGAGGCAGGGGAUGGAAAAAUCCACAGAUUCCACUUUGAAAAGAACUUCAAUUUGGGGGCAAGGGAGGGGUGGAAAGAGGAGAGGUAUAGGAAAUGAUUCAGAAACAGCUGAACUUUGAAAAACAGCAGAAAAAUCUCUCAGGCGCUGCAGAGCAGUGCAUUUUUAAAUGAAGCUGUGCCAAGGGACUGAAAAAUUGCUUAUGAGCAGAGGACAGCGGCCCAGGGAGCAGUUGAACUGACAGGGCCGACGGAACUGCUGGGAGCGCGGUUUCUUCAGAGGCAGCAAGAGAAACUCAGAGCGUGUUCUUCAUCACCGAAUUCCAGGAGGUCACCAAAUUCUACAGCAGCCCAAUAGUACGACCGCUAAAUAUGACAGGUCCCAGCUACAACAGCCACUAAGUACUACGGCCACUAAGUACUACAGACCCUAACUACUACGCCAGAGGGUCCUGUCACCUAUAGUUUCCCCUGCUAGUUCACCUUGGCUAUCCAGAGAAACUCGAGGAGGUGGAAGAAGCCUGGGCCUUAAUGUGGUGACCACAGGAACUCAGCACAGAUGCUGCUCUCAAAGCCCUCCCACUCUGUCUCACAGUGUUUCCCACAUGCCUGACCUAGUCAGAGGAGGAAGGGGCUGAGCUCUGACUGGGGCAUGUAGAGGCGCAGACAGCUUCUGAAAGGUAACCAGAGCCUUCUGCAGGCAGCAGGAUUUGUGAGGCUGCAGUUGGAGGGAGAGGUUGAGCUGUGAUGGAGCAACAGAAUGAGAGGAUCAGGAGACCGAGGUGAAAACAAAGGGAACAUGGACCUAAUCAACCUGCAAAAGUUAAUCAUUUAGGUUGUCUCCAGUUUCCACUGUCAUAAAAAGAAAAAAAUUGCAAUACAUGUCUUUGAUACCUACG
ensembl:lncRNA